rnacentral:rRNA from 1 species
ANNUGCAGUCGAGCGAACAGAUAAGGAGCUUGCUCCUUUGACGUUAGCGGCGGACGGGUGAGUAACACGUGGGUAACCUACCUAUAAGACUGGAAUAACUCCGGGAAACCGGGGCUAAUGCCGGAUAACAUUUAGAACCGCAUGGUUCUAAAGUGAAAGAUGGUUUUGCUAUCACUUAUAGAUGGACCCGCGCCGUAUUAGCUAGUUGGUAAGGUAACGGCUUACCAAGGCAACGAUACGUAGCCGACCUGAGAGGGUGAUCGGCCACACUGGAACUGAGACACGGUCCAGACUCCUACGGGAGGCAGCAGUAGGGAAUCUUCCGCAAUGGGCGAAAGCCUGACGGAGCAACGCCGCGUGAGUGAUGAAGGUCUUCGGAUCGUAAAACUCUGUUAUUAGGGAAGAACAAAUGUGUAAGUAACUAUGCACGUCUUGACGGUACCUAAUCAGAAAGCCACGGCUAACUACGUGCCAGCAGCCGCGGUAAUACGUAGGUGGCAAGCGUUAUCCGGAAUUAUUGGGCGUAAAGCGCGCGUAGGCGGUUUCUUAAGUCUGAUGUGAAAGCCCACGGCUCAACCGUGGAGGGUCAUUGGAAACUGGGAAACUUGANUGCANAAGANGAAAGUGNAAUUCCAUGUGUANCGGUGAAAUGCNCANAGAUAUGGGANGAACACCAGUGGNCGAANGCGACUUUCUGGUCUGUAACUGACGCUGAUGUGCGAAAGCGUGGGGGAUCAAACANGAUUANAUACCCUGGUANUCCACGCC